CAGGGACCUAUUAAUUAGUGGAGGAGACUCGAAACCCCAACAGCUGGGCCCUGCACCAGCAGCCCUUGGAUAGGGGAGCUGAGAGACGCCAGGGGGCUGUGGGACCAGUGGGGGAAGGGUCAGCUGGACAGAGCCUCUCCCAUCCUAUGCCACUCCCUCAGCCCACCCCAUCCUGAGCUCUUCCUCCCCUGCCCAGGAGGGCAGAGGGAAGCUCUGGAUCGCCAAGCUCAGGGUUAAAGGGCUCAUUAGAGGGGUGGGAAGGGGGCGGUGUUCAGAGGCUUCUUGGACAUCAAACAGCUCUUGCAAAACUUCUAGAUGAGUUAAGUGCAAAUGAAUUUGAAACAGACAAUAAAGUUCCCUUUAGAGACACCUGGGCAGAAAAAAAAGAAGGGAAAAGCGCCCCAGGGAGAGCUCAUUUGGGGAUUUUUUUUUCCUGAACCCAAAACACACAGGGAAAAACAAACCCACCCGUCUACACUGGGUGCCAGAGAUGGGCCCGGCGCGCCCUGACUCAGUGCUGGGCUGGCAGCGAGCUGGGCACACACGUGAGGCCCAGGCACACGCAUGCGAGUAGAGAGCUACAACACAAGUGCGUGUGCAGAGCCGGAAGUGCUGGGUACGCACAUGUGGGAGUGGCCCAGCCCUGGAACAGCAGAGCCUGCCCUGGUGGGAGGAUGAGGAAAAAAACGGGCCCUGGAUGCAGAGUGACAGGGCUGAGGGAGGCAGCCGGCCCUUCCCCGGCCUGAGGCCCAGGAAUGGCUGCUUCCUCAGCGGCCUGCCAGUGGCCUCGGAAUGCGACGCCUCCUCGGGCUCUCAGGGGUCCCACUUGGCCUUUCCGGUUCACCAAGCCCUUCCCACGGGCUUCUCCCAGCAGCCCUGCUGAAGGAAGGGAGUGCCACAGGUCUGAGGCUCUGGGCAGUUCCUCCCAUCGGAUGCUGACUUUGAUGGGGCAGAAGGAGUUCUUUCCGUCCCAUCCACCCCAACCCCAGGCCCGCAAACAGGUCAGGGGAGCAGCCAGCUGAUGGGGGUGGGAGCCUGGCUCUCACCCAACCAGAGGCCAUCUUCCUUGGCACCCAGCCUCACAGCCCCAAACCCACCCAAAGGGACGAGGCAAUGCAGACCAGAAGAAAAAAAAAGCGCUCACUGGGGGUCUGGAGCUGGAGUCUGACCCCAGAUAUGGAAAUAAGACUCAGAGAAGGAGAGGUGGGCUGGGACGAGAGCCCUCGGACCUGACCCCAUCCCUAGUGCUGACUGGGUCCUCCUGCCCCUCCGUCCUUUCUGGGCUGUGAAGCAGCAGGGUGUCACUCCCCUUGCGGCCUUCCCUCCCCCGCUCCAGCUCCUGUCCUGGCAUCUUUAUCCAAUGUGGAAAGCUUCUCCUAGAAUGCCAGGUGUCCACUCCCUCCAGCUGCCUGCCCCAUCUGUUCUAGGGUGGCCCCAGAGACAUCACUGUCCUAGGGUGGCAUUCACUGUCAGUCUAACACUUGGAUUUUCCUUGGCAUCAGGUCAGAGGUCCAGCUCUGGAUCCACUUCAACAACCCUCCCCUGGCCCACAGAGGCCAGGGACCAGACAGGUUUCCAGAAUCCAGACGUACCGAGUCCCUGACCCUUCCCCAUAUGGACAGAUGUUAGUCUCCAUCUCUCUGGGAUGUGAUGUGAACAGCUGCUCCAGAACCCUGGAGCAUGCCAGAGGCCAAGGCUUGAGGCCAACAUCGUACCCUCCCUCCAACUGCACCUUCCAAAAGAAGCGUGGAGCCAGGCAAGAAAAACAUUGGUUUUGGAGUGAGCUGGCUCUGGGUUCAAAUCCUGCUGUUGUCCCAGCUGUGUGUCCUUGGACAAGUUGCUUCACCACUCUGAACUCCAGUUUCCUUCUCUAUAAAAUGGGCAUGCCUAUGCCUCACAUUGCAUGGCAGUUAUGGGGCUCACGUGACCUGUGUGUAAAGGCACACAGUAGGUGCUUAAUAAGUGGGAUAGAUGAUAUGAUUCAUUCUGUAGAUCGGGUGUGCGGUUCAGUGCUCUGCGCCUGUGGGCACCAUCCCUCCAGGUCCCUGGGUCCCAGUCACUCUUGUCAUCAAUUAAUGCUGCUGUGCCACUUGAAUGGCCAUCUGUCAGCACCAGCUGCCGCCUGCCGCCAUCAGGGCACCACGCAAGGCCGCAUAUGCCCCAGGGGCCCUGCCACGCCCUGUCCGCCCAGCAGACUGCUCCAGUCUGCCCCAGUCUGCCCUCAGGCUCCCAGAUAAGGGGACAGCAGCAACUCCCCCAGGUUCCAAGGGCACCCCUUGUCCUCACCCGGGGCCUUCCACACCCCCAGGGGCUCCCCGUGAAGGUCUGGGGCCCAGGGACCCGGCUGGAAGCCCCUCUGCUCCCACAGCGUGGCCGGCCCCUCCCGCCCCUCCGCCAGCUCUUACCACAUCCUGGCGCAGCCCUGCGUCUAUUUCAUCAGGCC
ensembl:lncRNA